rnacentral:rRNA from 1 species
CGUAACAAGGUCUCCGUAGGUGAACCUGCGGAGGGAUCAUUACACAAAUAUAAAGGCGGGCUGGAACCCCUCGGGGUUACAGCCUUGCUGAAUUAUUCACCCUUGUCUUUUGCGUACUUCUUGUUUCCUUGGUGGGUUCGCCCACCACUAGGACAAACAUAAACCUUUUGUAAUUGCAAUCAGCGUCAGUAACAAAUUAAUAAUUACAACUUUCAACAACGGAUCUCUUGGUUCUGGCAUCGAUGAAGAACGCAGCGAAAUGCGAUAAGUAAUGUGAAUUGCAGAAUUCAGUGAAUCAUCGAAUCUUUGAACGCACAUUGCGCCCUUUGGUAUUCCAAAGGGCAUGCCUGUUCGAGCGUCAUUUGUACCCUCAAGCUUUGCUUGGUGUUGGGCGUCUUGUCUCUAGCUUUGCUGGAGACUCGCCUUAAAGUAAUUGGCAGCCGGCCUACUGGUUUCGGAGCGCAGCACAAGUCGCACUCUCUAUCAGCAAAGGUCUAGCAUCCAUUAAGCCUUUUUUUCAACUUUUGACCUCGGAUCGGGUAGGGAUACCCGCUGAACUUAAGCAUAUCA